rnacentral:rRNA from 1 species
CACCUCUAGCAUUACAAGUAUUAGAGGCAUUGCCUGCCCAGUGACUAUAGUUAAACGGCCGCGGUAUCCUGACCGUGCAAAGGUAGCAUAAUCAUUUGUUCCUUAAUUAGGGACUAGUAUGAAUGGCUAGACGAGGGAUCAACUGUCUCUUAUUUUUAAUCAGUGAAAUUGACCUUUCAGUGAAGAGGCUGGAAUACAAUAAUAAGACGAGAAGACCCUAUGGAGCUUAAAUUAACAAGCUUAAUUAUUACUUAAAUACCCUAAUGGAACAAAACAAAAAACAUAAGCUUAAAAUUUUGGUUGGGGUGACCUCGGAGAACAAAAAAUCCUCCGAAAGAUAUAUAACAUAGACCUACAAGUCAAAGUAACUCAAUUAUCUUAUUGACCCAAAAAUUGAUCAACGGACCAAGUUACCCUAGGGAUAACAGCGCAAUCCUAUUUAAGAGUCCAUAUCGACAAUAGGGUUUACGACCUCGAUGUUGGAUCAGGACAUCCCAAUGGUGCAGAAGCUAUUAAUGGUUCGUUUGUUCAACGAUUAAAGUCCUACGUGAUCUA